rnacentral:lncRNA from 1 species
GGAAGAUCUUGGCUGUUACCUUUGUGGAACGGAUGCUCAAUGAUUCAAUUAAGGACUGUAGAAACUUUUGAGCUCUAGAAUGGAUGCCUAUUAGCAGAUUUCAGCAUCUCCCAUGGUCAUGUGCUCUGCAGACUAAGAACGGACCAGUGGGGCUGGCUGGAAAGCUCUUCCACAGACGCGCUCUCUGGUUGCCUCCAUGCCUUCGGUGUAUAGAGGCCCACAAAGAGAACCCGGAAGUUCAUGGUGGCCUCACUGUAGCAGCCUUAAGCCCACUAAUCAAUGCACUCAAGCGGAUGCAUGCGUUUUCCAUGAUUUCCUUUGUGUGUUGAGAGCCUAGAGAAGAACAAUGGACGCACAGCAGUGGGUUUAAGGAUCUUCCGUGGUCUUGGGCUCUACAGACUGAUAAUGGAUGCACCUGAAUUUAUUAAGCAUUCGACUGUGAUCAGGGCCUCUGCUGGUUUUCCUGUGUAUAAAUACAUGUGGGUCAUAAUGGAUCCUACAAGCUGAUUUCAGCUUCUGCUCUGAUUGAGAUCAUCAUGUUGCCUCUGUCAGGAGGGCGACAAAGGUUUUCCCUAAAGAUUCCUUAGUUGAUAGCAGUGUAAGCUAUUUUCAUCAUGAGGAAGAGCACACUGGAGAUAAUGAACUGAACUAAUGUAGCCCUUCUGCCAUGGCAGUGAAUGCUGUAUUAGGAGCAAAGAGACAAAUGGUGGGUUCUCAAUGCUGUUCAAGUUUCAACCAUGAUUCCUGUGAUCAAAAAAUUUAUGGCUGCAUCUAUGUGUAGGAACCAGUAACAGAUACUGGAGUGGACUUCAGCUUCUGCCACAGUGAAGAUUAUCAUAAUGACUCUGUCAGGAAAGAGACCAAGACUGGACAUACUUGAGAUGAUUUAACCAUCUUCCAUGAUCCCAAGCCCUUUGGUUGCCUCUAUACAUUCAUUAGAAGUAUGGAGGCCAGUUACUCCGCAGAAUGGAUGUCCUUGAGCUGACUUAAGCAUCUUCCACGGUCUGGAGCCCUGUGGUUGCAUCUGUAUGUUAGGACAGUGGAGAACAAUAAACCCGGAGUGAAUGCAUGGGAUCUGAUGGAGGGAUUCCUCAUGGAGCACCAACCUAGGAUGGCAUCUUUGCUGUUAGAACCAUAGAACCUAGACCCACGAAGAGUCCCGAAGGAUGAAAACAUUUCUGAAGCGUCUUCUGAGAUCCG